AUCUUGUACAUUAAUAUUAUCCAGUAUAAACCUCUUUAAUUGACCAUGACAGGUUUAUUUUCCAGUACAAAUAAGGUGCUAAACAUAAAUAUAGUUUAAACAUAGAAGCGUUCAUGGAGGGUGCUUGGAUGUCCCUCAAAAAUGAGCAACACAAAAUCUUAUCAGGGAGGCUGCAAAGAGACCUAGAGUAUGUCUCCAGUAUUAAAGGAGCUACAGCAAAGUCAUGGUCAUGUGACAACACUCUCUUAUACUUCAUUAUGGUGUGAAGAGACCAAGGUGGAACUAUUUGAAGUCAUUCUAAAAAUAGAUUUUGCACAAACCCAAGACAGUUUAUCCCGCUAAGAACACCAUACACAUGGUGAAGCAUGGUGGUGGCAGCUGGGCCUGGGGCUCUAGUCACGAUAGAAGGAACCAGGAAUAGCUCCAAAUUCCAGCCUUUUUAAGGAACAGCUUCAAAUACCAAACUUGCAGGCCUCUGAAGCUGAAGAUUUCAACUUCCAGUACGCCAAUGACCCAGAGCAAAAAUCCAAGUCAGAGGACAGAUGAGGUGAAGAGGCUUCAAGACAGGGAGAAGCAGCUCAGUGUUGCAGGAUGGGUCAGUAAAAAAACUACUGGAGCUGUAAUGAAGUUGCCAGGAACUUCUGCAAAGACUGCAAAGAUGAGGAUGAAGUGUGGGCUCCAGAAGUACCAGGAGACAUAAGACAUAAAAUUAAAUUCUGAGAUGCUACAAGUGUCAUGGUCAUCUUCUAGCUGGACAAAGAUCUAAAACAAACAUUCCACUCAAUCCACACGAAAAUGCUUCAAUCACAAUACAGUCAAUCUUUUGACAUGGCCAUCUCAGUCCCCUGACCGAAACCAGCUUAAAAACCUAUGAGGUGAAAUGGAGAGGAGAAUCCACAAGCUAGGACUCGGGAGGAUUAGAAGAGAUUCUGUACUCAGGAGCACUCUCGGGGUCUUUGCUCUGAAAUCUCAUCAAACAUUGGGCCAUGAGAAAACAAUCUACAGGGCCUACAGGGGCACAGACAAGGAUGAAGGAACUGAGUCUCCAAAAGGAAUCUUAGAUUAGGAGAGAUAGACUGGGAGUGAGUCUGACCACUGAUCUCAGACUUUGUGUGCUUUAGGACUGAGAUAGAGACAGAAAGCGGAUCUAUUCUGUGAUGGGAGUAGAGCCAAAACACAUUACAUAAUAUAGUAUAAGAUUACAAUAAACAAAAUACAUGAAAUCAUGAAACCUAUUUCUAAACAUUUCGUAGUCAUUUAAAAGAUUCAAGUAAAAUUAUUUUACUGGCAGGUUUUUAAGCACUUACUUCUAGAAAGAAGCAAAAAUAAUCUGUUAACAGAAUAAAAAAAAUGUAAAACCUGUGUGUAAGCAUCUAAAAACUGAAUCAUCUUCUAAUAAUUAUUUAUGAUAACACAGAAUGGUGUGGACAAACAAACAAACAAACAAUCAGACAUCCGCUGAACUGUAGUUUUGCAGGCAGGAAAGCUUUGUUGGUGAGAGAGGUCAGAGUGGUUCGAGCUGACAGGAAGUCUAUAGCAAAUCAAAUAACCAGACUUUAUAAACAUAGAGAGCAGAAAUUCUGUUACACAUCCUCCUUCUCUCUCUCUCUCUCUCUCUCUCUCUCUCUCUUUCUCUCUCUCUUUCUCUCUCUCUCUCUCUCUCUUUCUCAAUCUUCAGAUUGUUCUGUACACUUUACACUACAUACCUAAUUGAUAUAUAUAUACCCAAUAUAACUAAUGACUUUUAUAUUUGAUUUCAAGUAUGCUCAAAACAUUUUAUCCUGUGCCAAGCAAAAGUGGCCAACUAUUUCAGAAAAAAAUAAAAUAAUAAUAAUAAAAUUAAAAUUGAGAAAACCCCGUGUCAAGACGUUACUGCACUAAUGCAGUCUUUGUUAAAUCACAAGUGCUGAUUGACUUCUGCUUUUGUAAUUCUGUCAGUGACCUUGCAACAUUUGAGUAGCAAGUGGUGUAAGAAUGAAGCUUUGUGCACUGUCAAUGAAGAAAAAUUAAUUUUUACACACUUUUAAGUGCUUUUGUAAUUAAAAAAAAAAAACAUUUUAGAGUUAAUAUGUACAGAAAAAUGCUAUUUAUCUUUUAUUUUGUGUUUAUUGACUCAAUUGUAUGUCAAUAUUUUUUUAUUAUGUAAUAAAGGUCUCUCUCUCUCUCUCUCAUAAAUAAAUAUUGCUCAGAAAAU